UUACGACCAUAUCAUGUUAAAACACCAGUUCUCACAAGAUCACUAACAUUAAGCAAUGUUGAGCCUGGUCAGUACUGAUAUAGUUGACUGCUUGGGAAUACCAGAAGCCGUAAG